rnacentral:rRNA from 1 species
UACGUAGGGUGCGAGCGUUGUCCGGAAUUAUUGGGCGUAAAGAGCUUGUAGGCGGUUUGUCGCGUCUGCUGUGAAAAUCCGGGGCUCAACCCCGGACUUGCAGUGGGUACGGGCAGACUAGAGUGUGGUAGGGGAGACUGGAAUUCCUGGUGUAGCGGUGAAAUGCGCAGAUAUCAGGAGGAACACCGAUGGCGAAGGCAGGUCUCUGGGCCACUACUGACGCUGAGGAGCGAAAGCGUGGGGAGCGAACAGG